rnacentral:rRNA from 1 species
GGGUUGUGAGGUUAAGCGACUAAGCGUACACGGUGGAUGCCCUGGCAGUCAGAGGCGAUGAAGGACGUGCUAAUCUGCGAAAAGCGCCGGCGAGGUGAUAUGAACCUUUGACCCGGCGAUGUCCGAAUGGGGAAACCCAGUGUGUUUCGACACACUAUCGUUAACUGAAUACAUAGGUUAACGAGGCGAACCGGGGGAACUGAAACAUCUAAGUACCCCGAGGAAAAGAAAUCAACCGAGAUUCCCCCAGUAGCGGCGAGCGAACGGGGAGCAGCCCGGGGUCUGAAUCAGCUUGUGUGUUAGUGGAACGGUCUGGAAAGUCCGACGGUACAGGGUGAUAGUCCCGUACACGAAAGCACACAGGUUGUGAACUCGAAGAGUAGGGCGGGACACGUGGUAUCCUGUCUGAAUAUGGGGGGACCAUCCUCCAAGGCUAAAUACUCCUGACUGACCGAUAGUGAACCAGUACCGUGAGGGAAAGGCGAAAAGAACCCCGGCGAGGGGAGUGAAAAAGAACCUGAAACCGUGUACGUACAAGCAGUGGGAGCCUACUUGUUAGGUGACUGCGUACCUUUUGUAUAAUGGGUCAGCGACUUAUAUUCUGUAGCAAGGUUAACCGUAUAGGGGAGCCGAAGGGAAACCGAGUCUUAACUGGGCGUUAAGUUGCAGGGUAUAGACCCGAAACCCGGUGAUCUAGCCAUGGGCAGGUUGAAGGUUGGGUAACACUAACUGGAGGACCGAACCGACUAAUGUUGAAAAAUUAGCGGAUGACCUGUGGCUGGGGGUGAAAGGCCAAUCAAACCGGGAGAUAGCUGGUUCUCCCCGAAAGCUAUUUAGGUAGCGCCUCGUGAACUCAUCUUCGGGGGUAGAGCACUGUUUCGGCUAGGGGGCCAUCCCGGCUUACCAACCCGAUGCAAACUACGAAUACCGAAGAAUGUUAUCACGGGAGACACACGGCGGGUGCUAACGUCCGUCGUGAAGAGGGAAACAACCCAGACCGCCAGCUAAGGUCCCAAAGUCAUGGUUAAGUGGGAAACGAUGUGGGAAGGCACAGACAGCCAGGAUGUUGGCUUAGAAGCAGCCAUCAUUUAAAGAAAGCGUAAUAGCUCACUGGUCGAGUCGGCCUGCGCGGAAGAUGUAACGGGGCUAAACCAUGCACCGAAGCUGCGGCAGCGACACUAUGUGUUGUUGGGUAGGGGAGCGUUCUGUAAGCCGUUGAAGGUGGCCUGUGAGGGUUGCUGGAGGUAUCAGAAGUGCGAAUGCUGACAUAAGUAACGAUAAAGCGGGUGAAAAGCCCGCUCGCCGGAAGACCAAGGGUUCCUGUCCAACGUUAAUCGGGGCAGGGUGAGUCGACCCCUAAGGCGAGGCCGAAAGGCGUAGUCGAUGGGAAACAGGUUAAUAUUCCUGUACUUGGUGUUACUGCGAAGGGGGGACGGAGAAGGCUAUGUUAGCCGGGCGACGGUUGUCCCGGUUUAAGCAUGUAGGCGGAGGUUCCAGGUAAAUCCGGUACCUUUUUAACGCUGAGGUGUGAUGACGAGGCACUACGGUGCUGAAGUAACAAAUGCCCUGCUUCCAGGAAAAGCCUCUAAGCAUCAGGUAACACGAAAUCGUACCCCAAACCGACACAGGUGGUCAGGUAGAGAAUACCAAGGCGCUUGAGAGAACUCGGGUGAAGGAACUAGGCAAAAUGGUGCCGUAACUUCGGGAGAAGGCACGCUGAUAUGUAGGUGAAGCCCCUGCGGGUGGAGCUGAAAUCAGUCGAAGAUACCAGCUGGCUGCAACUGUUUAUUAAAAACACAGCACUGUGCAAACACGAAAGUGGACGUAUACGGUGUGACGCCUGCCCGGUGCCGGAAGGUUAAUUGAUGGGGUUAGCGGUAACGCGAAGCUCUUGAUCGAAGCCCCGGUAAACGGCGGCCGUAACUAUAACGGUCCUAAGGUAGCGAAAUUCCUUGUCGGGUAAGUUCCGACCUGCACGAAUGGCGUAAUGAUGGCCAGGCUGUCUCCACCCGAGACUCAGUGAAAUUGAACUCGCUGUGAAGAUGCAGUGUACCCGCGGCAAGACGGAAAGACCCCGUGAACCUUUACUAUAGCUUGACACUGAACACUGGUCCUUGAUGUGUAGGAUAGGUGGGAGGCUUUGAAGCGUGGACGCCAGUCUGCGUGGAGCCGACCUUGAAAUACCACCCUUUAAUGGCUGGUGUUCUAACGUAGACCCGUAAUCCGGGUUGCGGACAGUGUCUGGUGGGUAGUUUGACUGGGGCGGUCUCCUCCCAAAGAGUAACGGAGGAGCACGAAGGUUAGCUAAUCCUGGUCGGACAUCAGGAGGUUAGUGCAAUGGCAUAAGCUAGCUUGACUGCGAGAGUGACGGCUCGAGCAGGUGCGAAAGCAGGUCAUAGUGAUCCGGUGGUUCUGAAUGGAAGGGCCAUCGCUCAACGGAUAAAAGGUACUCCGGGGAUAACAGGCUGAUACCGCCCAAGAGUUCAUAUCGACGGCGGUGUUUGGCACCUCGAUGUCGGCUCAUCACAUCCUGGGGCUGAAGUAGGUCCCAAGGGUAUGGCUGUUCGCCAUUUAAAGUGGUACGCGAGCUGGGUUUAGAACGUCGUGAGACAGUUCGGUCCCUAUCUGCCGUGGGCGCUGGAGAAUUGAGGGGGGCUGCUCCUAGUACGAGAGGACCGGAGUGGACGCAUCACUGGUGUUCGGGUUGUCAUGCCAAUGGCACUGCCCGGUAGCUAAAUGCGGAAGAGAUAAGUGCUGAAAGCAUCUAAGCACGAAACUUGCCCCGAGAUGAGUUCUCCCUGAGACUAUAAGUCUCCUGAAGGAACGUUGAAGACGACGACGUUGAUAGGUCGGGUGUGUAAGCGCAGCGAUGCGUUGAGCUAACCGAUACUAAUGAACCGUGAGGCUUAACCUUACAACGCCGAAGGUGUUU